AAACCCUUCUCCUUUUCACUCAUCAUACUCUAGCCGGCCCAAUAUCCACCUUGACCCGACCCACCUUUGUUUUUCUUCUUCAUCAGAACAAAACAACGACAAUAUCAACAAUCCAACAACGUACGCACAAACAACAAUAAUAUCGACCAACAACAACAAUACCCGAUUCAACUUCGACCCCAAAUCACGAGCCUCUCUCCAUCUUAUCUCUGUAUUUUGUAGACCUAGAGCCAUUCUUUUUGACCUUUUUGCUCAAGAUUGUGUAUUUUCAAAUUCAAAAUUCAAUCCAAAUUAGAAGAUGUCUAUUCAAAUCUGAAAUUUAGGGAUAUGUUUCUCUAUUUUUAAAGAUAAAAAAAUAAUAUCCUCCCCUAUAAAUAGGGAUUGAGGGGAAGAAGGCAAGAGAGGGAAUUCUUUAAGAAAAAAUUGAGGAUUUGGGAGGAGCAUUCCUCUAAUCCUAUGUAACCGAAGAAUUCAAGUAGAAAUUUCUGUAAAACAUUCAAUUCCGGUGAAUUAGCAAUGGGUACUGACAGUGGUGAAACUCUUUCAAUUUAAGCUCGUUUGUCCUGUUCAAUGCUCUAAAAGGUAAACACACCUUUCUAUAUUUAGUUAUUUCUUCUUUUUUAUGAGUAGUGAUUUCGUUGAAAUGGUGAGAUUGUUCGCUGUAGAAGCUUAAUGCAAAAUUCAUUGUCUGAACUUCAUCUUCGUUGUUUCAACUCUUUGUUAAAAUUUGUGGUUUCAUGAUUGAAUUUGUUUAUUAGCUAACUGUAUGUCCUAGAGUCUUAGCAGUUGUUUCAUUGUGUGACUGUCUUGAUCUUACUAGGUGAAAAUAAACGUUGUAGAGACCGUUUGAAAUCUGACUGUUCAUAGCUUUUCAGGGGCAUGAUUAUUAUGUGACUAAUUUUGUUCUCUUUGAAACUUGUUUAUGUUGUUUAGAAAUUGAUUGAAUUUUUAAAUUAAAUUUCAAGAGUGCCCCUUGAUCUGCGAUAUCAAAAAAGACAGCUUGAAAAGAUCCGAGAUGUAAAAGUCUCUAUGUAUAUAGCUUUAUUUGUGCCUUGAAAUUUAUUGUACUUUUUCCCGUUUAAUUCAGAUUCGAUGACCGAUGUUAUCAUCAUUGGAAUUUCUCGUCCAUGACAUGAUAGGAUAUAGGUUGUUCGUGUUUGGUUCUUUUCUUAUCAUAUUUUGAUUCAAGCAUUUUUUUAAAAAAAAAUUUAGGAUUAAUUUGAUAUGGGUAAUUCUGUUAGAUUGGCAUUCCUUCGAGUCCUAAACUAUGUGUUUAAGUGGAAUAAAUUUUGAAGGAUGCUGUAUUUCUCUAUUAUUUUGGGCUGUACAUCGUUUGUUUAAGCUUAUCCAUAUCUAAACUUGACUGAAACUUUUUUAAUCUUCCUUUGUAUGGAGUCAUUGCAUAUGUUUUUAUCCUUUCAUGAUCAUGCAUCUUUUUUUUGGUUUUUUUGUUUGUAUUGUCUUGUAUUUUGUUGGAUAUAUUUUAGUUCAAAUUAUUUUCUUAACCAUUUGUUAAUAAGCCCUGUACGCAAAUAAAGUAUGAAAUGCCUUGAUUACAUACUAUCUUCUUGCUUUAUAAUAUCGGUUAGGCUCAACAUGUGUUCCCUGUUAGAUUCAACAUGGAAUACCCUUUGCUAUUUGUUUAAUUAAUUCUUGUUGGGAUGCAUACCAUUUUGUUGAUAGUCAGUUUCUUAUUUUAUAUUAUAUAUUGAUUUUUAUCUCUUUCUUUGUCGUAUGUGAUAACAAAUCGAGUCCAAUUGGACUCCAUAUCCUUUGCAUUCAAGCAUUAUCGAGUAUAGGCCUCCUACAAGUCCAAAAUGGACUAAUAAAGGAAGAAACGGGAUUGAUAUACGCAGAUAUACAGUAGUAUACAGAAUUAAAUGAAGGCAUGGAAUGGAGAUAUCAAUUUUAUACACUGAUAUACAGUGGGUAUACAAAAACGCAGCAGCAACAGGGGAUGAUAUACAGUAAAUAUACAGCUGGCAUACAACUGCAGAAAUGGACCAAAAGUCCAUAAAGAAUGGGCCCAAAAGUUGGCUAGAUUUGGGAAAGGCCCAAAUUUUUUCUUCUUAUUCAUCUCCUUGUAAAUCCUUUUUUUUUUUUUGGUUUUCCAUCCGGUGUCCGGUACCCGCAUUGGAGCCUGACUAAUUCGGAUUCGCGCCGGGUAGGGCUCCAUUCGGGGGGUAGCGCUCUCAACAGAGUUUUUCCAUGCCCAGGGUCGAACUCUCGACCUCUGAUUAAGGGUGGAACAACCCCAUCCGCUGCUCCACAACCCAUGUUGGUUCCUUGUAAAUCCUAUUUAAUUAUGUGUUUGUAUUAAAUUAUUAAUUUGGUUAGCCUUUGUGAAUCCCCUUUGAAUCGUUAUUUUUGUUUGUCUUUUGCGUAUUUUAUUUUAUAGUGUAAUAUUCGAAGUUAAUAAAAACUACAUAUCUUUCUCUAUGUUUUUCUUAGGAUGAACUUUAAAAAGAAAAAAUCAAAAAUGACGUUUUAUUUUAUCGAUAUGUUAAAGUAGUUCAUUUGAGUUAAAAAGAAUUUUCACCGACCUAAAAUUGAUUUUCUUUGCAAAAGAUAAAAGUAUCUUCACUAAUUAGUCAAAGUUCAUAAUUUUCUUAAAUUGAUAUUUUCUUUAAAGAUAGAUAUUUUUUUUAAUCAAAAAAUGUUAUUCAAGAAAAAUUAGUUCCUUUUAUUUGAAAGAAUGAUUUACGAAGAAAACGGGUUUAGUUCAACUUAUUUUUUUACAGAAAAUUGUCUUAAGAUUCAAAUAAUUUGUUUUCUCAUUUGAAUAAAUAAAUGUUAUUUUUAAAUGUUUAAAUAAAUAAUUUAUAUUUUCUAUAAAAUUAAGUCUUUGCGAAAAUUUGCCACUUUUAGUUAGUCAAGUUAGUUGAGAAAAUUGAAGGAAAGGUGUCAUUUAAGUUUUGAAUGAAGGGUUGGUGACAUUGACCAACUUAAAGGGUCAAACAUAAUUAGGAAACUUGAUUAAGUUAAUUGUGGACUUGAUUAAUAUUUUCAAAACUUUCUAAUCUUUUCAAAAAUACAAAUUCACCCAUACCCCCUCCUUUUCGAAUCAACCAUCUCUCUCCUCUCUCUCUCUCAACUCUCUUACAACUAAUGGUUCUGCAAAAUUUCUACCUUCAUUCCCUAGCGACUUCAAGCUCCGGUGACAAAUAGCUCGGCGAGUUUAAUUUUGACUUUCAAUCGUCAAUCGACGUGACAAGCAGUGUUCUCCGGCGACAACAACUUUGAGUUCUUCGUUGUCCCAUUUCUUCUUUCACAGGUAAAAAAUUAUGUCUUUUUAGUUAUGAAGAAACAGAGGAACUUGAGACAACUUCUCUUCUACUAUUGGUUAACAAUUUUAAUAUUUCUUGCUUAAAUUUGGAAUGUGAACUGAAUAAAAUUCUAAUUUCUGGCAUUUCUUCUCUACUCUUUUUGGUGUAAAAUAUAAUUUUUGUUGUUAUUGUAGUUCUUGUUGUUGAACUGUUGAUUCAAUUUGUUGGUGAUUUUUUAUCAUCGUUGAUGUUCUUAGUGUGUGUGUGUGUUGUGUUGGUGCUGCUGGAUUGAUUUGUUAUUUAUCUUAGUAAAAAAUAGUGUUGCAACAAAUCAACCAUCUGAUACAACUGAUUAACCAUUCGAUGCAACAGAUGAAAAUCUGAUGCAAUAAUAAAAAUCUGAUGCAAUAAAUGAACAUUCUAAUAGAUUAUUCAUUUGUUGCGAUAGACGACUCUUCUGUUUGGAAUAAAUCUAAACAAUAUUGUUCCAAUAGAUUAUUCAUUUGGCAACAGAUGAGUGAUCUGUUACCAUCUAAUGCAACAGAUGGAAAUCUGAUGCAAUAAAUAAAUAAUCUGAUGCAAUAAAUGAACAUUCUAAUAGAUUAUUCAUUUGUUUCGACAGACGACUCUUCUGUUUGAAAGAAAUCUAAACAACAUUGUUCCAAUAGAUUAUUCAUUUGGCAACAGAUGAGUGAUCUGUUACCAUCUGAUGUAACAGAUGGAAAUCUGAUGUAACGAAUAAACAAUCUAACAAAUUAUUCAUUUGUUGCGAUAGACGACACUUCUGUUUGGAAGAAAUCUAAACAAUAUUGAUCCAACAGAUAACUUAUUUGGCAACAGAUAAGUGAUCUGGUACAACAGAUGAGUGAUCUUUUUUAUUAUUUCCAACAGAUUACUCAUCCUCUGUAAUAGGUUGGUUAAAUGUUACAACAGAUAACGUACUUGGUGUAACAAAUUAGUGAUUUAUUUUUAUUAUUUUCAAUGGAUUACUCAUCCACUGCAACAGGUCGAUUAUAUGCUGCAACAGAUAACUUACCUGGUACAACAAAUUAGUGAUCUAUUUUUAAUAUUUCCAAUAAAUUACUCAUUCGCUGCAACAGGUAUAUGCUGCAAUAGAUAACCUACCUAGUGUAACAGAUUAAUGAUAUAUUUUUAUUGUAUCCAACGAAUUACUCAUCUGCUGCAACAGGUUGGUUAUAUGCUGUAAUACAUAUCCUACCUAGUGCAAUGGAUGAGUGAACAUUCUAACAGAUUAUCCAUCUGUUGUGAUAGACAACUCUUUUGUUUGUAAGAAAUCUAAAUAAUUUUAAUCCAACAGAUAACUCAUUUGGCAACAGAUGAGUGAUCUGUCGCAAUAGAUAAGUGAUCUGUUACCAUCCGAUACAAUAGAUGGAAAUCUGAUACAAUAGAUGAACAAUCUAACAGAUCAUUCAUCUGUUUCAAUAGACGACGCUUCUGUUUGGAAGAAAUCUAAAUAAUAUUGAUCCAACAGAUUACUCAUUUGGCAACAGAUGAGUGAUAUUUUUUAUUAUUUCCAAUGAAUUACUCAUCCACUGCAACAGGUUGGUUAUAGGCUACAACAGAUAAUCUACCCAAUGCAAUAGAUUAGUGAUCUAUUUUUAAUGUAUCUAACUGAUUACUCAUCCGCUGCAAUAGGUUGGUUAUAUAUUGCAACAUAUAUCCUAGUUGGUGCAACAGAUGAGUGAUCUAUUUUUAUUGUAUCCAACAGAUUACUCAUCUACUGCAACAGGUUGGUUAUAUGCUGCAAUAGAUAUACUGUGCAACAGAUGUGUGAUCUAUUUUUAUUGUUUCCAAUAGAUUACUCAUCCGCUACAAUAGGUUGGUCAUAUGCUACAACAGAUAUCCUACCUGGUGCAAUAAAUGUGUGGUCUAUUGGAACUGUUAUUUUAUUAUUUUACAUUUUUGAUUUACUAUUAUCCCUUUUUAAUGAUGCAUUAAUUAAUUAUAACAUAUUUUAUUUUCCUGUUAAUUUUAGAUAAUAUGGCUCCCAAAAGAAAAAAAAUCAAAUCAAGUCCAAAUAAAGGAACAAGAUAAGUAGCUAGGUUAUAUCCACCACUCUAUGAGCUUGCUUUACAAGCGUUAUCUCAAUCAUGAGCAGAAGAUGAUGAACAUGGGGAGGAGGAAUAUUUCAAAAGAGAAGAUCCAAAUGCUAAUAGCCUUUCCACCAAAGAGUUGGUUAAAACCUUCAGUAUUGAUCGUUAUCCCAUGAGAAUGUAGUACGAUGGAGCCACAGAUUUAACGAAUGAUUUCGUGGUUAAGUUAGCCAUGGAAAAAUCUUUCGACGCCUUCAAAAAAAUACUUCGAGAACAAAAAUUAGAUGCUUAUUUCAAGGACAGCUACUUUGGUCAAUAUCUUGAUUUGUCGGAGGACAACAAUGCUUAUUUCCAAAUGAAAAUGGCAUAUGAUCUUCUUAAGCGUAGGUUUAUGUAUGAAAACAAAGAUAAGAUGGAUGAGGCGUGGAUAAAUUAGUGGCAUGCCUAUUUGUUUUGGUUGGAAGGAGUUUGCCUUAGUUACUAGAUUUAAAUGUUAUCCUCCUUCUCCGUCUUAAGUUAUACCUAUUCUAACCCUAAAAAAGCACCCCGCACACCCAAAAAAGGCAAGGGCAAGUCGAGUGAUCAUGAUGACCUGGUGUCCCUUGUUGGUCUAAGCAUUAAAAAUAUAAAUUUGAUAGAAGAGUUGAAAGUUAAAAGACUUUCCAAGAAGCACAAACAAUCAUUGUUCUUGGUUUGGUUUGUCAUAAUGUUCUUUGGGCGAGAGACAUUAACAACAACAUACCACUUGGUUUGAUAAAGCUCUACGAGGAUCUUGAGGCAUUUAACAGUUAUCCUUAGGGUUAUGAAAGCUAUAAUGUGUCUGUCAAAUAUUUAUUAACUCUGUUAAUGCCAAGGACAGUCAACUUAUAUGGCUUUCCAUGGGCUUUCAUGGUAAGUAUUUCUUUUAUCAUGACAUGGUUCAUUUUUUAUUCAAUAAUACUUUUGAUUUACUGUCAUUAUUUUAUAGGCUUGGACAUUUAAAGCCAUUCCUUAUUUAAGACAACAAGUGAACUAUCAGGAAGAAGUUUUUAAGACAACAAGUGAACUACCAGGAAGAAGUUUUCUGUCCAAGAAUCCUGAGAUGGUUGUCGGCCAAAACUGAUAAAAAUGCAAAAUUUCUUUCUCUUCACCCCCGAAGGAAGCAGAAAGUGUAAUUCUAAUUAAGUUUUAUUUUAAAUAAUGAUUUUUUAAAAUGAUUUCAUCACCAUUCCAAUAUAUGUACUGAUUUAUUUUAGAUUGUCCAUCCGUGGCUUGUUCUGACCAAUCGAGAGUUGAAGAUGUCAUUUUUUCUUACUUUACGAUCUGUGCAAACUUAUCGGACCCUAAGGUCAUUGAUAGAAUAAAGGAGGAAUUGUUUGGAGCAACAACUAUCACAAGAAAAAUAAAUUUGAAGGGUGGACUUAUUUUUGUUUAUGAUGGUAGUGGUAGUGGUGCUCCUCUUACAGUUUUUGACACAACAAACUAUUAUCAUUAUGAUCAUACUGGUUAUACAGAUUUUGCCACUUCUAGCGAAUGUUUUGCAUGCAAAUGUCAAGACUGCAAGGCGAAACAUGAUGGAGUGAUUAGUUCUAUUAAUGCAUUAACUUCUUUUCUAAAUAAAAUGACAUCAAAGAGGGGUGUCAUUUCAUAAAAAAAGAUUUCAUAUCCAUACACUCCACUAGAGAUCAAGUUCGCUCAGAGGAGAAGGAAAUUUUUUUCCAAGGCAUCAUAAAGUAUCGAAAAAAUCAAAAUUGUAACUUCUCUGUCUUUGUCUUGCACCUUUGAUCAAUGUACAAGGGCCACAAGAGAGCAACAUGAGCUGGAGAAGGUGAAUGUAUAUCAUCUAUUCCAACAAACAAACAGACAGAUAUCUGUUACAAUAGAUUAUACAUAUGCUAAAAAUUAUCAAAAAAAUAGAUAUAUCUAUUGCAACUGUCAUAUAACCUGUUGCAUCAGAUACAUUAUCAGUUGCAACAUAUGUUUGUCUGUUUCAACAAAUCAAAUGGGUCUUAGUACUAUUUUAAUUUGUACCAGCAGAUGAGUCAUAUAUUGCAACAGAUGAGUUGCCUGUUCAAAAUUAUUGUACAACUCUAUUUUACCUGUUCGAGUUUGUCCCAAUAGAUGAUCGAUCUGAUACAACAGAUAGAUAAUUUGUUGUAUAUCUAUAAUUAUUAGCACUGACACUUCUGGCAAUCCAGGUGGAUGUCACAGUAGAAGCUACUA
rnacentral:lncRNA from 1 species